GUUCAGUGUGUUUCAGGUGCUGAAAGCUUCUAAAUGUUUGUAUAAAACAAGAUCAACGUCAUGCAGAUGUCAGAAGGAUGGUACCUGUCUGUCAUUGGAUUUGUCAUCAGUAUUGACACUCUGAUGAUUCCUGAGUUGCUCCAAGUACAGCGGUAUGUGCUGACCUACAGGUUCAGCCAGGACCACUUGGAGCUCCUAUUUAACUCCAUCAGAGCAGCAGGCGGUUGGAAUAACAAUCCAUCUACAGGCCAGUUCCAUCU